rnacentral:rRNA from 1 species
GGCUCAGAAAGAACGCUGGCGGCGUGCUCACACAUGCAAGUCGAACGAACCUUCGGGUUAGUGGCGGACGGGUGAGUAACGCGUGAGAAUCUGCCCUCAGGAGGGGGAUAACGGUUGGAAGCGACCGCUAAUACCCCAUAUGCCGAGAGGUGAAAAGAAAUUCGCCUGAGGAUGAGCUCGCGUCUGAUUAGCUAGUUGGUGUGGUAAUGGCGCACCAAGGCUUCGAUCAGUAGCUGGUCUGAGAGGAUGAUCAGCCACACUGGGACUGAGACACGGCCCAGACUCCUACGGGAGGCAGCAGUGGG